rnacentral:rRNA from 1 species
UACGUAGGGGGCAAGCGUUGUCCGGAUUUAUUGGGCGUAAAGAGCGUGUAGGCGGCCAGGUAGGUCCGUUGUGAAAACUCGAGGCUUAACCUCGAGACGUCGAUGGAAACCAUCUGGCUAGAGUCCGGAAGAGGAGAGUGGAAUUCCUGGUGUAGCGGUGAAAUGCGCAGAUAUCAGGAAGAACACCCGUGGCGAAGGCGGCUCUCUGGGACGUGACUGACGCUGAGACGCGAAAGCGUGGGAGCAAACAGG